rnacentral:rRNA from 1 species
UACGUAGGGGGCUAGCGUUGUCCGGAAUCAUUGGGCGUAAAGCGCGUGUAGGCGGCCCGGUAAGUCCGCUGUGAAAGUCAAAGGCUCAACCUUUGAAAGCCGGUGGAUACUGCAUGACUAGAGUACGGAAGAGGCGAGUGGAAUUCCUGGUGUAGCGGUGGAAUGCGCAGAUAUCAGGAGGAACACCAAUAGCGAAGGCAGCUCGCUGGGACGUUACUGACACUGAGGCGCGAAAGCGUGGGGAGCGAACAGG